UACGAAGGGGGCUAGCGUUGUUCGGAAUUACUGGGCGUAAAGCGCACGUAGGCGGAUAUUUAAGUCAGGGGUGAAAUCCCGGGGCUCAACCCCGGAACUGCCUUUGAUACUGGGUAUCUAGAGUCCAGAAGAGGUGAGUGGAAUUCCGAGUGUAGAGGUGAAAUUCGUAGAUAUUCGGAAGAACACCAGUGGCGAAGGCGACUCACUGGACACGUAUUGACGCUGAGGUGCGAAAGCGUGGGGAGCAA
rnacentral:rRNA from 1 species